UACGUAGGGCGCAAGCGUUAUCCGGAAUUAUUGGGCGUAAAGAGCUCGUAGGUGGUUUGUCGCGUCUGCUGUGAAAGACCGGGGCUCAACUCCGGUUCUGCAGUGGGUACGGGCAGACUAGAGUGCAGUAGGGGAGACUGGAAUUCCUGGUGUAGCGGUGAAAUGCGCAGAUAUCAGGAGGAACACCGAUGGCGAAGGCAGGUCUCUGGGCUGUAACUGACGCUGAGGAGCGGAAAGCAUGGGGAGCGAACAGGAUUAGACUACCCCGUAGUC
rnacentral:rRNA from 1 species